UACCUGGUUGAUCCUGCCAGUAGUCAUAUGCUUGUCUUAAAGAUUAAGCCAUGCAUGUCUAAGUAUAAGCAUUUAUACCGCGAGACUGCGAACGGCUCAUUAAAACAGUUAUGGUUUAUUUGAUGGUUCCUUUGCUACUUGGAUAACCGUAGUAAUUCUAGAGCUAAUACAUGCACGAAGGGGCGACUUACGAAGCCCUGUAUUUAUUAGAUUAAAGCCAACCGCCUCCGGGUGUUCGUGGUGAAUCAUAGUAACUUAUCGGAUCGCCGGCUCUAUGCCAGCGACGUGUCAUUCAAAUUUCUGCCCUAUCAGCUUUAGAUGGUAGGAUAUGGGCCUACCAUGGCGGUGACGGGUAACGGAGAAUUAGGGUUCGAUUCCGGAGAGGGAGCCUGAGAAACGGCUACCACUUCUAAGGAAGGCAGCAGGCGCGCAAAUUACCCAAUCCUGACUCAGGGAGGUAGCGACAAGAAAUAACAAUAAACCGGCUUAUGCCGGUUUAAUUGGAAUGAGUACAAUUUAAACAUCUUAACGAGGAACAAUUGGAGGGCAAGUCUGGUGCCAGCAGCCGCGGUAAUUCCAGCUCCAAUAGC
rnacentral:rRNA from 1 species